rnacentral:rRNA from 1 species
GGGAGGUAGUGACAAUAAAUAACAAUACAGGGUCCUUAUGGGUUUUGUAAUUGGAAUGAGUACAAUUUAAAUCUCUUAACGAGGAACAAUUGGAGGGCAAGUCUGGUGCCAGCAACCGCGGUAAUUCCAGCUCCAAUAGCGUAUAUUAAAGUUGUUGCAGUUAAAAAGCUCGUAGUUGAAUUUCGGGGUUAGCAGGUCGGUCGUGCCAAUGGUAUGCACUGGCUCGCUGACUCCUCCUUCUUGUAGAACCGUAAUGCCAUUAAUUUGGUGUUGCGGGGAAACAGGACCGUUACUUUGAAAAAAUUAGAGUGUUUAAAGCAGGCCAACGCCUGAAUACACUAGCAUGGAAUAAUGAAAUAGGACGUUCGAACCUAUUUUGUUGGUUUCUAGGAUUGACGUAAUGAUUAAUAGGGAUAGUUGGG